GAUGAACGCUGGCGGCGUGCCUAAUACAUGCAAGUCGAGCGAACAGACGAGGAGCUUGCUCCUCUGACGUUAGCGGCGGACGGGUGAGUAACACGUGGAUAACCUACCUAUAAGACUGGGAUAACUUCGGGAAACCGGAUCUAAUACCGGAUAAACUGUUGAACCGCAUGGUUCAACAGUGAAAGACGGUGUUGCUGUCACUUAUAGAUGGCUCCGCGCCGCUUUAGCUAGUUGGUAAGGUAACGGCUUACCAAGGCAACGAUGCGUAGCCGACCGGAGAGGGUGAUCGGCACCACUGGAACUGAGACACGGUCCAGACUCCUACGGGAGGCAGCAGUAGGGAAUCGUCCGCAAUGGGCGAAAGCCUGACGGAGCAACGCCGCGUGAGUGAAGAAGGUCUUCGGAUCGUAAAACUCUGUUAUUAGGGAAGAACAAAUGUGUAAGUAACUAUGCACGUCUUGACGGUACCUAAUCAGAAAGCCACGGCUAACUACGUG
rnacentral:rRNA from 1 species